rnacentral:misc_RNA from 1 species
UAUCUGCACGAGGAAAUCCCUCAGCGUCGACGAGGUUGCCGGAGAGACCAGGACCGCCGGGAUGGCAGAGGCGCUCAAUGAUACCGUUCAUCUCCGCUUCGAUGGAGCUUCUCUUCUCUGCAAGCUUCAUUGUUUCUGCUUUCAGAUUUGUGGCCACCAUUCUGUGCUUGAAUUGGUGCUGGAUUAUGGCUUUGCCUAUAGGUAAUUAGGGUUUUACGGGUUAGACUUGAAAGAGAAGAAAAAGGACCAGGUGAGUCUUUC